rnacentral:rRNA from 1 species
UACGUAGGGUGCGAGCGUUGUCCGGAAUUAUUGGGCGUAAAGAGCUCGUAGGCGGUGUGUCACGUCGGCCGUGAAAACCUGCAGCUUAACUGUGGGCGUGCGGUCGAUACGGGCAUCACUGGAGUUCGGCAGGGGAGACUGGAAUUCCUGGUGUAGCGGUGAAAUGCGCAGAUAUCAGGAGGAACACCGGUGGCGAAGGCGGGUCUCUGGGCCAACACUGACGCUGAUGCGCGAAAGCCAGGGGAGCGAACGGG